CUUCGUUAGGGAAUUAGGACGUAAGGAGAGAAGGCAGCAGGGAGGAAACGAGCCCGGGGAGCCGCCGCCGGGGGAGUUUGGGGGCUCUGCCCUGGCCCUGCCUGCUCUCGGGAAGGACUUUCAUCUCCCCGUGUCAAGCUGUGCAGUCAGGAAGACCAAAGGCAGAGGAUGUGAGCAGUGGUCAUCCCUGAAGGGCCAGGGCGCAGAGCAGCAUCUUCUGGUUUUAAUUAAAAACCAUCCGCUGGCAAAGUU